rnacentral:rRNA from 1 species
UACGGGGGGGGCAAGCGUUGUUCGGAAUUACUGGGCGUAAAGGGUCUGUAGGUGGCCAACUAAGUCAGACGUGAAAUCCCUCAGCUUAACCGGGGAACUGCGUCUGAUACUGGAUGGCUUGAGUUUGGGAGAGGGAUGCGGAAUUCCAGGUGUAGCGGUGAAAUGCGUAGAUAUCUGGAGGAACACCGGUGGCGAAGGCGGCAUCCUGGACCAACACUGACACUGAGGAGCGAAAGCCAGGGGAGCAAACGGG